rnacentral:rRNA from 1 species
GUGUCAGCAGCCGCGGUAAUACAGAGGGUGCGAGCGUUGUUCGGAAUUAUUGGGCGUAAAGCGCUUGUAGGCGGCUUGUUAAGUCCUGUGUGAAAGCCCUAGGCUUAACCUAGGAAGUGCGCAGGAAACUGGCGAGCUUGAGUGCCGGAGAGGGUCGCGGAAUUCCCGGUGUAGAGGUGAAAUUCGUAGAUAUCGGGAGGAACACCAGUGGCGAAGGCGGCGACCUGGACGGACACUGACGCUGAGACGCGAAAGCGUGGGGAGCAAACAGGAUUAGAUACCCUGGUAGUCC